CCUACGGGGUGCAGCAGUGAGGAAUAUUGGUCAAUGGACGAGAGUCUGAACCUGCCAAGUAGCGUGAAGGAUGACUGCCCUAUGGGUUGUAAACUUCUUUUAUAAAGGAAUAAAACGAGGCACGUGUGCCUUUUUGCAUGUACUUUAUGAAUAAGGAUCGGCUAACUCCGUGCCAGCAGCCGCGGUAAUACGGAGGAUCCGAGCGUUAUCCGGAUUUAUUGGGUUUAAAGGGAGCGUAGAUGGGUUGUUAAGUCAGUUGUGAAAGUUUGCGGCUCAACCGUAAAAUUGCAAUUGAUACUGGCAGUCGUGAGUACAGUUGAGGUAGGCGGAAUUCGUGGUGUAGCGGUGAAAUGCUUAGAUAUCACGAAGAACCCCGAUUGCGAAGGCAGCUUACUAAACUGUGACUGACAUUGAUGCUCGAAAGUGUGGGUAUCAAACAGGAUUAGAUACCCUUGUAGUC
rnacentral:rRNA from 1 species